AUAUCUGGAAAGUCUAGGACCGUGAUGGCGAACCUAUGGCACGUGUGCCACAGGUAGCACACAGACCCAUUUGUGCAGGUAUGUGAGCCCCAGCCAAACUUACCUGCACUGCACAUGUGCAUGCCUCCCAGCUGAUUUU